UACAGGGGGGGGCAAGCGUUGUUCGGAAUUACUGGGCGUAAAGGGCCAGUAGGCGGCCAACUAAGUCCGACGUGAAAUCCCCAGGCUUAACCUGGGAACUGCGUCGGAUACUGGAUGGCUUGAAUUCGGGAGAGGGAUGCAGAAUUCCAGGUGUAGCGGUGAAAUGCGUAGAUAUCUGGAGGAAUACCGGUGGCGAAGGCGGCAUCCUGGACCAACACUGACACUGAGGAGCGAAAGCCAGGGGAGCAAACGGG
rnacentral:rRNA from 1 species